GAUGAACGCUGGCGGCGUGCUUAACGCAUGCAAGUCGUACGUGAAGGGGUUUUCGGACUCCUGAAAGUGGCGAACAGGUGAGUAAUACGUAGCUGACCUGCCUUAAAGUGGGGGAUAACUACUGGAAACGGUGGCUAAUACCGCAUAGAGCUGUGACCGUUGGGAGGUUGCAGGGAAAGCUCCGGCGCUUAGAGAGGGGUCUUCGUACGAUUAGCUAGUUGGUGGGGUAAAGGCCUACCAAGGCGACGAUCGGUAGCUGGUCUGAGAGGACGAUCAGCCACACGGGAACUGAGACACGGUCCCGACUCCUACGGGGGGGAGCAGCGAGGAAUAUUGGGCAAUGGGCGAAAGCCUGACCCAGCAACGCCGCGUGAAGGAAGAAGGCCUUCGGGUUGUAAACUUCUUUUGUGGGGGAAGAGAGAGGACGGUACCCUGCGAAUAAGUCACGGCUAACUACGUGCCAGCCGCCGCGGUAA
rnacentral:rRNA from 1 species